rnacentral:rRNA from 1 species
UACAGAGGGUGCAAGCGUUGUUCGGAUUCAUUGGGCGUAAAGGGUGCGUAGGCGGCGCGGUAAGUCGGGUGUGAAAUCUUGGAGCUUAACUCCGAAACUGCAUUCGAUACUGCCGUGCUUGAGGACUGGAGAGGAGACUGGAAUUUACGGUGUAGCGGUGAAAUGCGUAGAUAUCGUAAGGAAGACCAGUGGCGAAGGCGGGUCUCUGGACAGUUCCUGACGCUGAAGCACGAAGGCCAGGGGAGCAAACGGG